rnacentral:rRNA from 1 species
GAUGAACGCUAGCGGCAGGCUUAAUACAUGCAAGUCGAGGGGUAGCAAGAUUGUAGCAAUACAAUUGUUGACGACCGGCAAACGGGUGCGGAACACGUACACAACCUUCCUACAAGUGGGGAAUAGCCCAGAGAAAUUUGGAUUAAUACCCCGUAACAUAGCGAUGUGGCAUCACAUUGCUAUUAUAGCUUCGGCGCUUGUUGAUGGGUGUGCGGCUGGUUAGAUAGUUGGCGGGGUAACGGCCCACCAAGUCUACUAUCAGUAGCUGAUGUGAGAGCAUGAUCAGCCACACGGGCACUGAGACACGGGCCCGACUCCUACGGGAGGCAGCAGUAAGGAAUAUUGGACAAUGGACGCAAGUCUGAUCCAGCCAUGCCGCGUGAAGGAUUAAGGUCCUCUGGAUUGUAAACUUCUUUUAUAAGGGACGAAAAAAGGUCUUUCUAGAUCGUCUGACGGUACCUUAUGAAUAAGCACCGGCUAACUCCGUGCCAGCAGCCGCCGUAACAC